GACGAACGCUGGCGGCGUGCUUAACACAUGCAAGUCGAACGGAAAGGCCCUGCUUUUGUGGGGUGCUCGAGUGGCGAACGGGUGAGUAACACGUGAGUAACCUGCCCUUGACUUUGGGAUAACUUCAGGAAACUGGGGCUAAUACCGGAUAGGAGCUCCUGCUGCAUGGUGGGGGUGGGAAAGUUUCGGCGGUUGGGGAUGGACUCGCGGCUUAUCAGCUUGUUGGUGGGGUAGUGGCUUACCAAGGCUUUGACGGGUAGCCGGCCUGAGCGGGUGACCGGCCACAUUGGGACUGAGAUACGGCCCAGACUCCUAUGGGAGGCAGCAGUGGGGAAUAGUGCACAAUGGGCGGAAGCCUGAUGCAGCAACGCCGCGUGCGGGAUGACGGCCUUCGGGUUGUAAACCGCUUUCGCCUGUGACGAAGCGUGAGUGACGGUAAUGGGUAAAGAAGCACCGGCUAACUACGUG
rnacentral:rRNA from 1 species